CACACACACACACACACACACACACACACACACACACACACACACACACACACACACACUCUGUCUCUGCUCCAUUGCUCCCAUUGUUUCGCUGCUGAUUCCGUCUUCACGCCCCUCUCUCGCUUCUGCAGAACUAAAACCCGCUACGCUCAGAUCCGCACCACGUAGACCCCCCUUGGGGAACGCCGUGAGGGAGCGGAUGGAUGCAUAGAGGGGGUGAAGGACUGGAAGCGACUAGCAGAGAAACCACUUCAAGCCGCUUUAGCCAAACAACCCGCCCAGCCGCGCCUGGUGGGAGUCUCUCCUGCAUACACAGAGAAGCCCAGAGCAGUGGAUCCAGCACAUUCUGCUACACUUAGAAGUGGCUUACAUAUACUCUCCUAUGCUUAGAAGUGGAUCUAAUAUACUCGCCUACAUUUAGAAGUCGAUUCAGUACUCUCACUUAUGCUUAGAAGUGGAGUUAAUAUUCUAUCUAAUACGCUCCACCAGGUAGGGGUGCGUUCUGAGUCCAGCUCGCGUAGGGACAGUAGCUUCCUUUGCACCUUUCAGUUUUAAACUUCCUGAUAGACAUCGACCCUUUGCAGGAGGAGGACGUUCUGGUCCUGUUGAACCUCCGAUUUGUGUCUGAAACCCCCGUCAGGAAGGAUAAUUGGGUUACAUCAUGAGGUUAAAGAACAAGAAAGCAAACAAUCGAUAUCCUUUGCAGACAGUGCCACUUUACUCCAGCCAAAUCCCUACCGGACCAAAGUGUAUGCCAUGGUGAGAUUUACAGCAUCGAAAAUACAUCUUCUGGGUUGCACAGGGCAUGAAAGUGUCCUUUAUAAAAGUGUCUCCUAAUCUGAGUGCAGAUUGGGGCACCGUUCAGCAUGCCACACGCCUUUUACGAACGUUAUAAACACAGUUAUUUACAUGCACUGCACGUCAGAUUUAUCCUUAGAGAUUUAAGAAAGAAAUGUAUGAUUGUAGCUGCUGUUAUUAUGUUAUUAUGGCUGUACCUUAUGCCUGUAUGACCGCAAGAAACCUGGGUGAUGUCAUGGUAAAUAAAUCUAGUAAUUUCUGCAGUUUGUCGUGUAUUUCGUGGGUUUUUUUAACGAUGAAAUUUUCCGUAAUUGGCCAGCAGAUGUCAGUAGACAUCCCUCUCUAAGACCAGCUGCUGCUGCCCGCUACCUUUAGCCCAAUUGGAACGAAACCAAUUUCUUCUUUCCAGGGAAAACGAAGGUGAGCUCUUAGCAUUUCAU
ensembl:lncRNA